CAAUGGGUGAUACAGAGGGCCGGCCGCUGGCAACAUCGGUCCAAUCCUUAAAGUCAUCCUCAGUUCGGACUGGGGUCUGCAACCCGACCCCACGAAGCUGGAUUCGCUAGUAAUCGCGCAUCAGCCAUGGCGCGGUGAAUACGUUCCCGGGCCUUGUACACACCGCCCGUCAAGCCAUGAAAGCCGGGGGCGCCUGAAGUCCGUGACCGCGAGGGUCGGCCUAGGGUGAAACCGGUGAUUGGGGCUAAGUCGUAACAAGGUAAC
rnacentral:rRNA from 1 species